AUUGAACGCUGGCGGCAUGCCUAACACAUGCAAGUCGAGCGGAGCGGCGGACGGGUGAGUAAUGUCUAGGAAUCUGCCUGGUAGUGGGGGAUCACUACAGGAAACGGGCGCUAAUACCGCAUACUAUCAGAUGAGCCUAUGUCGGAUUAGCUAGUUGGUGGGGUAAAGGCUUACCAAGGCGACGAUCCGUAACUGGUCUGAGAGGAUGAUCAGGCACACUGGAACUGAGACACGGUCCAGACGCCUACGGGAGGCAGCAGUGGGGAAUAUUGGACAAUGGGCGAAAGCCUGAUCCAGCCAUGCCGCGUGUGUGAAGAAGGUCUUCGGAUUGUAAAGCACUGUAAGUUGGGAGGCGGUACCAGCAGAAGAAGCACCGGCUAACUUCGUGCCAGCAGCCGCGGUAAUUC
rnacentral:rRNA from 1 species